UCUUCUUUGGCUCAGUCGGUAGAGCACUAUGCCAGCCAAGCACAGAUCAUGGGUUCAAACCCCAGGUAAAGAA